UACGUAGGUGGCAAGCGUUUGUCCGGAUUUAUUGGGCGUAAAGCGCGCGCAGGCGGUCCUUUAAGUCUGAUGUGAAAUCUUGCGGCUCAACCGCAAGCGGUCAUUGGAAACUGGGGGACUUGAGUACAGAAGAGGAAAGCGGAAUUCCACGUGUAGCGGUGAAAUGCGUAGAGAUGUGGAGGAACACCAGUGGCGAAGGCGGCUUUCUGGUCUGUAACUGACGCUGAGGCGCGAAAGCGUGGGGAGCAAACAGG
rnacentral:rRNA from 1 species